CUCCUACAUUCUGUCUAUCCACACUUCAUAAUUUGUUCUACAGUAUUUUUUAAGUUUCUUGCAAAUUUCCUUUAUUAUGCUGACAAAAUUUUCAUGAUGAUAUUAACUGUUGGGUUCUAUACUGGGUUCCCCUGCUCUGCCAGUGAGCAGAAGAAGCUGUGAGGAAGCACAACCAGGAUGGCUGACCCAAAUUGACCAAAGGGAUAUUCCAUAUCACAAAACUUCAUAUACAGUAUAUAAAGUGAAGGGAUAUGACCAGGAUGGAUGGAUUGCUGCUUAGAGUUGGGCUGGGCAACUGUCAGCAGGAGCUUUAUAUACUCCGUAUGAUACCACCUGUUGUGGAAUAUCCUGUGGUUAGUUGGGUGCCGCUGUCCUGGCUGUGUCUUCUCCCUGUUCCUGUGGACCUGCAGCUUCCUCACUGGUGGGGAGAAGCAGACAAGAAAGACAAGCAGAAAAAGCCAUGGCUCUGUGCUGAGUAAUGGGCAACACACCCCUAUGUUAUCAAUGCUGUUUUGCUCAUAAACCAAAAAUCCUAUGAGCUACUGUGAAGAAAAUUAACUCUCAACCAGCCAAACACAGUACAACUUACAAUUUAAUAGAUUAGAAUGCUAAGUCUGCAACUGAAAUAAUAAUACAUUUGUGAGAAGAAGAAUCUGAGAGUACUUUUGAAUAACCCAGUCUCCAUAAUAGCUUCAUUCCCUCAGGAUAAGUCAAAGAUUAUGCCCACCAGUAAGUACUUGAAAAAAUAGGGCAAAUAGCUUAAGUUUUGCCAAUUUUACUGUAUCUUAGUACUAGUAGAGUUCUGUCUGUUUAAAAUAUGGAGGUUUUGUAUUCACUAUCAGCACAGUUUUAAGUCCAUUCCAUAGAGAAAAAAAUGUUUUUUAAAAAAAGACAUUUAUAAUAUGUUUGCCCAUUAUUUACAAAC